CCCAGGCUUCAACAGAAGAGAGCGAUUGGUCCCUUUAUAUCAAGGACUUUUCAGCAGCCAUGACAGCUGUCUUCGUCUAGCUAUUGCUUUUCUGGAACACAAAUACUGGACCAUCCCAACAAUUCUUGGCUGUCUGACAAGAGAGGACUCUAAUCUAACUGUCUACUCAAGCAAACCAUCUGGAAAUGGAACCUGCUAGCUAAGGUCUUCCAAGCUAUGACAGGAAGAAGCAAAGCAUAUUUCUGCGAUGCCCACAUUCUGCUUCUGAAGUCCAGCUUCCAUCUCCUACCAGGAGUCUGUAAAGAAACAGUCUUUCCAUUGAUUAUACUUAUGUGGUUUUCCUGCUGUUAUUUUCUGCAUGUAAAAAGAGCACCAACAUAUUUUCAACCUGAGGAUCCAGUGAAGUUUCUUGUGACCAAAUAUGUGAAUUGAAAUAUCCCUAUAGCUCUGGAAUAAAUACAACUCCUAUGAAAGAAAGAAUUAUGAAACUCCAUUCAGAUGAUGGAUGGAUGCUCACCAUUUUACCUUACAAAUGACACUCAGAAUGCCUUAACUAAUGUGAAAGGGCUCUAGACUCAUUAUAGACAUCAGUUGCUACAGAAGUACAGAAGGAAGCCUGCAAUCCUAUUUCAAAGGAUCCUUGGAUGACACUUCCUGGGAAACUGGAAGAGUGGAUGGGGUGGACUUCGGCAAUCCCAGACAAUCGGUUGACUGACACCUGUGACAAUUCCUGUUAGACAUAAGCAUCUCGGCAUCCUCCCACGUGACAUAUGGUCGGCCCUUGGGGCACAGCACGUCCUUCUGGGCGUGACACUCUAACAGGGGCAUUGACAACAAGCAGCAAGACCCUAGGAAUCGUUUUCUAUGUGACUUUGAAUCACAGAACUAAGCUAACUUUUGAGAAUAACAGAGAAACAAAUUUUAGCUCAAUAUUGGGAACAGCGUAUGUGCCUCAAGAUAGAACGGGCUUCUCAUUAUGUAAUAACCAUCCGUCCAAGAAAGUAUUCAGGAACGGAAUAGGA